rnacentral:lncRNA from 10 species
UUUUUUUUUUUUUUUACCGAAAUGCUACUUAUUUUGCACAUAUCAUCUAAUAAUUUUUUUCUGGGCAGAAUCUUCUCUACUCCCCAAACCCAGCUUAGCUUAGGUGCCCUCCUAUGUGCUCACAUAGACCUCUCAUGGCCAAACACUACUGAAGAUUUACUGAAUGAAUUCCCAGCAUGAGUAGACAGCUUCCUAGAUGUACUGACCUGACACAAAAGUGCUCUAUGGAGGAGUUUAGAAACUAGCAGAGAAUAAGAGUUGCUGGGGAUUACCUCCUUUCCUUCUCAGCCUUACAACAUUCUUUGCACUACAAUGAUCCUACCUUUUCCACACCCCUACUAGUCCAUAGUAGAUGGGAAUUGUUCUGAGGUAGGCAGGCCAAUGAAAACUUACCCUUGAAUUCCAAAGAAGCUGAGAGGUCAAAGAAAGAGGCUGACAAAUCCAGUUUCUUAUUUUUUAAAAAACAUACACAUUUAAUUGCUGCAAACAGAAGCCAUGUCUGAGUGCUGGGUGGCUGUGAGUCUAGAUGGUGGAUCUUGGUGCCAUCACCCUCCAAAACCCAGAGCUCAUAUACCAUAGGGAAGGAAUAUAUAGCACAAUCGUAGGAAAAGGCAAGAAUGCUAUGUGCAUCUGCCUAAGGGCAGGAUUUAUGGGCAAGAUUUACAGUUAGUACAUGCUCUUACACAAGGAACAGUAGAUAAAAUAGAAAUCUUAGAGGCAUUUCUGGAACUGGAGUUAAUCAGAAGUCAACAUGGUGGGUUAGCAACCAAGAGGGAGUUGCUUUAGCUGUCACAAAACUGUUAAAUGGCAAUCAUGGACAAAUCCCCAACAUGAAUCUUGUUCUCUGGCUUGGAGAAAUAUCACAUUUCAGAAGGCUCUACAGUAGUUUUUAUGAGUUUGGGUAGGCAGAGCAGGAACUCACAGCUCUGGGAUUCAGAUCUGUUGGAAAGCUGACAACCACCCAGCACGUGCCAUUGUUUUGUCCCUUGUGAAUCACAAACCCACCUGGCACUUGGCCUGAUAAUGUCGUAUUAAUACGAGGUAUGAGUAUCCACAGCAUGCGAGGUUAAGGUGGGAUCUGCCUCCCAUCACUGUAACCUUGACAGGAAGUGGCUUUGAAAAUGACCAACUGCCUCUAGAAAAAUGUUGGCAUGACAGAGUGUUUCCCUCUGGCCACCCCAUUCCCUCCAUUGCCCUCCAGCAAUGUGUCAUAAACAUGUUGUCCUUGCUCCCUUUUGAGUGCAGCUGGUGUCAUCUCUGUCCAGGUUGCCUUCCAGGGCAGACAUCCAAGCUUCAAGGACUCACAGUCUGUACUGGGACCAACUUGUGGGCAGCUGGGGCACGUGGACUCCUCUGGAGCGGAGUUCUGUUGACCUUGAAGGAUUGGCAUAUCGGAGGGGUGUAAUGAAACUUGUCUUCUCACAACACAUUUGCGAGGUGAACCACAGUGUUAGGCAAGUAAGCCAAUCACAGCAUCAAAGACAAAUGUGUUGCAGAAGAGAAUGUGCACAUUAGAGGAGACAGAAGCUACUUAUCCAAAAUCAACAGAAAAUGCCUCAUUAUAUCAUCUAUCCCUUUAUUCUAAUUCUUUCAUCAGGAUUGUUGGGAAAAAAAAAAAAGACAAAGCCAGGUCCAUGGUCUGUCUUGAAAAACAGGCCAGCUGCUCCAGUCACAAUCCUCCCUUUAGAACGCCGUUGGCAAAAGCUCACACAUGUUUUCUCCCUUCACCUAGAGGUUAUCCAUUCUUUAAUGAAUUUAGUUCCCCAUAUCUGGGCUCUUUCCAUCCAGUGUUUUUAAGCCUUUCUUGAGGUGCAUUCUAGAAUAUAUACACAGUCUCUUCGAAGUUUAGACAAAACAUACUUUUCUAUAAGACGGAGUCAUAUUUUCUGCAUGUUUCUCUUGGUUUCUAGGCAAUACCCAAUGGCAGGUUGGCCCUUGUUGACUGUAGGAGCAUGUUAGAAUGAUGUACUCCAGGCUGUACACAUUCAUUUCUUGGACUAUAUCAGGUAUAGUCUAACAGCUUCAAAUCUGGUUUGCAUUACUUAAGACUAAAUGUGAUAAAAGUGUAUUGACAAAGCCAGGCGUGGUGACUCAUGCCUGUAAU